AAAACAUCGCCUCUUGCAAAAUAAUGAAUAAGAGGUCCCGCCUGCCCUGUGACUCUAAGUUUAACGGCCGCGGUAUUUUGACCGUGCGAAGGUAGCGCAAUCACUUGUCUUUUAAAUGGAGACCUGUAUGAAUGGCAUAACGAGGGCUUAGCUGUCUCCUUUCUCUAGUCAAUGAAAUUGAUCUCCCCGUGCAGAAGCGGGGAUAGAACCAUAAGACGAGAAGACCCUAUGGAGCUUUAGACGCCAAGACAGACCAUGUUAAACACCUCCCCAUAUGGAGCCCAAACCAAAUGGUCCCUGCCCUAGUGUCUUUGGUUGGGGCGACCGCGGGGAAACAUAAAACCCCCAUGUGGAAUGGGAGCACCCUCUCCUACAACUAAGAGCUACAGCUCUAAUGAACAGAAUUUCUGACCAACAAGAUCCGGCAAUGCCGAUCAACGGACCGAGUUACCCUAGGGAUAACAGCGCAAUCCCCUUUUAGAGCCCAUAUCGACAAGGGGGUUUACGACCUCGAUGUUGGAUCAGGACAUCCUAAUGGUGCAGCCGCUAUUAAGGGUUCGUUUGUUCAACGAUUAAAGUCCUACGUG
rnacentral:rRNA from 1 species